GUUUUAAUGCUCCAGUCUUCCCAUAUCCACACCUUUGCUUCCUUUACAGUGAACUGCACUAGCAGCAGCAGCAGCAGCAGCAGCAGAGGCAGCAACAGCUACAGCAGCAGCAGAAGCAGCAG
ensembl:miRNA Gm44348 predicted gene, 44348